GCUCCCGUGUGCCAUCCCUCCCCACGUAAAGGGGCGGCAGCCGGUCGCCCGUCACUCCGAGUUGCCGUGCGGAGGGGAGAGGAGACGCACAGACAGCGGCCGUGCUUGUGAGCCGCGUGACGCAGGGUCUGCCUCGACACGGGCAGCGAGCCGGUCUCCUCGGCGUAGGCGCUGUCCCCAGGGGAGGCGAAGGCGGAUAACGCACAACGGCAUCAGCAGAAACAUUUACCAAGAAGCAUUUGAAACGUGGAAUCUUCACGAAACCUCAGUGUUCAAACACCAAAAACGGUAGAAGGUGGUGGUCCGAGCACCUGAGCCAGCCCGACACACAGUGUGGGACAAGGCACCGGGAUUCCGCGCUUCCCACUGGGUCGCGGUGACUAAUGGCAGCAGGAAAUGCUUUCCUACCGUCCCACGUCUGCACACACCUGCCGGGCCGUUCCCAGCGUCCUCCCCGACGCGGAGGCUGCCUCGUGCCCCCGACGGGAAGUGUUCUCCUCCCCGAGCGUGUUCCCGGGCGCUGUCCCAGGCGCUGCGUCUACGGUUCGUAACCCCAUGGGUACGGCGCUCACUCGCACGGCACAGGUGGCCCAGCGGGAGGUCUCUGGUACUGGCAGCGUCACGUGGAUAACGUGUGGCUAGCAUGUGGCUAACGUGUGGCAGCUGGUCUGUAUGCAGUGGAACGGGUGAGUCCACCUCCCUGCGACCGUGUGAGAGUGACUCCCUUCAUUACAAAUAAGCGUGACUUGGUUCUCGUGACACCGUGUGUCAGGGGUCGAAUUGCACCCCCCCCCAUUCCUAUGUUGAAGCCCUAACCCCAGCACUGAGGAUGGGGCCUUCUCUGGAUGUAGGGUGUUUACAGAGACA